rnacentral:tRNA from 1 species
GGAGGGUUGGCAGAGCGGUUGAAUGCGCCGCACUCGAAAUGCGGUUUCCCCGAAACGGGAUCACAAGUUCAAAUCUUGUACCCUCCGCCA